rnacentral:lncRNA from 1 species
AACGGUAUAAAGAAUAGGUGAGUACUACUAUUCUCCUCUUAAUGGGUUAGAAUAGUAGUUCCACCUAUUAGAUGGAACAAGUUAUUCUCUACUUAUUCCUCUAUUAAUUAAGUUAUAAAUAAUUAUAAAUUAUAAUUAACUAAUGUAAUUAAAUUUUUUAAUAAUUAACUAAUUAAUUUUUUAACAUAUUAAAUUAAUAAAUAUUUAAAUAAUAAUUUAUUUAUAAUUUAUAAUUAAUUAAUUAUUUAAAUAGUUAGCUAUUUUAUAUGUCUUAUUCAAUCAUUAACUAAUAUUUAUUGUCACGCCUCGGAUUGCACGUUUCCCAGGCACGCCGACAAAUCCGCCGUAUACAAAAGAAUUUUCCCUGUAUACGAAGCGAUAGCUGUACCUGUAAAACAUACAAUACUACAAACAGUAGUAUAGAGCUGUUCUAAUAAAACUGGUAAAAACAGGAACAAGUUCAAUAUACAUACAUACAUCCAGGUAUACAAAAGCUCGCCCAGCGAGAUACAACCAGUAUGUAUAAGAAACUCAAAAACUAGCACUACCUGUAGCUGGUAACCUCACGAACAGCAGCAACCGGGAAGGGCUCUAACUGGCAACGCCUUUGC